GAUGAACGCUGGCGGCGUGCUUAACACAUGCAAGUCGAACGAUGAAGCCCAGCUUGCUGGGUGGUUUAGUGGCGAACGGGUGAGUAACACGUGAGUAACCUGCCCUUAACUCUGGGAUAAGCCUGGGAAACUGGGUCUAAUACCGGAUAGGAGCGUCCACCGCAUGGUGGGUGUUGGAAAGAUUUAUCGGUUUUGGAUGGACUCGCGGCCUAUCAGCUUGUUGGUGAGGUAAUGGCUCACCAAGGCGACGACGGGUAGCCGGCCUGAGAGGGUGACCGGCCACCAUGGUGCUGAGGCAAGGCCCAGAAUCCUACGGGGGGCAACAGUGGGGAAUAUUGCACAAUGGGCGCAAGCCUGAUGCAGCGACGCCGGGUGAGGGAUGACGGCCUUCGGGUUGUAAACCUCUUUCAGUAGGGAAGAAGCGAAAGUGACGGUACCUGCAGAAGAAGCACCGGCUAACUACGUG
rnacentral:rRNA from 1 species